UGGUAGUAAGUUUAAUUACUAAUAGAUUUUGGUUAACAAUCUAGAUUGGAUCUAAAACUUUAAUAAGUCUAGCUGCAGAAAGAGGUAUAACAUAAAAAUUUGACAUGAUAAAUUUUAUUAUGUUUAUUAUAUUUUACUAUCUAUGAAACUAUAUUUAUACAUAGUAUUUUAGUAAAGAUUUGAAUAUAUAAGUGGAACCUUAGUUGAAAGAAGCAACACAAUUUAUCUCAAAUUAUUAAAGGUAAAUCAUAAAAACUCCUCCUCAACUUUAGGUUAAUUUUACUUAUGCCUCCUUGACUUUAAAAAGUAUCAAACUAGCCUUUUAAAUUUUUGAUAUAAUCCAAAAUGAUCCUACUAUUUAUUUUCAAUAAAUGGUGUUAACUUAUCAUUUCAAUGGAUGAAAAUAUUCCUCACUCAUAUGAGAGAGAUUGUUGGUGAGGAAGAGAUGGAGGUGGAGGUGGAGGAAGCCACCAUAAAAUGAGAGGAUGGGAUCGCAGAGAUUGGCAUGGAGGAGGAGAUGACAUCAAAAGUCUCAUGGAUAGGAUUGGAAGAAGAAAAAAUUGUGAUAAGGAAUGGAAGGAGAGAGAAAGAAAAAUCACUGGCA
rnacentral:lncRNA from 1 species